GAUGAAGAACGCAGCAAAAUGCGAUACUUGGUGUGAAUUGCAGAAUCCCGUGAACCAUCGAGUUUUUGAACGCAAGUUGCGCCCGAAGCCUUUUGGCCGAGGGCACGUCUGCCUGGGCGUCACGCAUCGCGUCGCCCCCCACAAUUCUCCGUAAAAGGAACAUGUGUUUUGGGGGCGGAUAUUGGUCUCCCGUGCUCAUGGCGUGGUUGGCCGAAAUAGGAGUCCUUUCGAUGGACGCACGAACUAGUGGUGGUCGUAAAAACCCUCGUCUUUUGUUUCGUGCUGUUGCUCGCAAGGUAAACUCUUUAAAAACCCCAAUGUGUCGUCUCUUGACGACGCUUCGACCGCGACCCCAGGUCAGGCGGGACUACCCGCUGAGUUUAAGCAUAUCAAUAGCGGAGGA
rnacentral:misc_RNA from 1 species